GACGAACGCUGGCGGCGUGCUUAACACAUGCAAGUCGAGCGGUAAGGCCCUUUCGGGGGUACACGAGCGGCGAACGGGUGAGUAACACGUGGGUGACCUGCCCUCAGCUCCGGGAUAAGCCUGGGAAACCGGGUCUAAUACCGGAUAUGACUCCAUGACGCAUGUUGUGGGGUGGAAAGCCUUGUGCGGCUGAGGAUGGGCCCGCGGCCUAUCAGCUUGUUGGUGGGGUGAUGGCCACCAAGGCGACGACGGGUAGCCGGCCUGAGAGGGCGACCGGCCACACUGGGACUGAGACACGGCCCAGACUCCUACGGGAGGCAGCAGUGGGGAAUCUUGCGCAAUGGGCGAAAGCCUGACGCAGCGACGCCGCGUGAGGGAUGACGGCCUGUGU
rnacentral:rRNA from 1 species